AUGCCAAAUCUGAAGUUAUGAUCUUUGAUAGCAAAAACGACCACAGGACCAACACAACACAGGUCAUCAAAUAUCAAGAGGACUGAGGUCAACUUAUUCAUAACAUAGACCAAGCAUCUGCUCAAAGGCAGCACCAGAUGUUCUCACAAAUUGCACACGGAUAAAGAGGUGCAGAAACGACACAUGACACAAACUUCACGUAACAAAAGAAGACGUUGACGAAAGAAGAGGCCACCAGGCUCAACAGACAUGCGAACCAAAUUUUCAGGAGCCCAAAGAAAUUCGCUGUCCACCACGAAGACGGAGCACCAAGUGGAGUGUAGACUCCUUCUGAAUGUUGUAAUCAGCAAGGGUGCGUCCGUCAUCGAGCUGUCCUUCCCUGUCUUGGGUAUUCGCCUUCACGUUGUCAAUGGUGUCCGACGAUUCCGCCUCCAAGGUGAUGGUCCUCAAGUUGCUUGCGGGCAAAUAUCAACCACUGCUGGUCUGGCAGGAUGCACUCCUUGUCCCUGAUCUUCGCUUUGACAUUGUCAAUCGUGUCAAAAGACUCAACCUCAAGGGUGAUUGUCUUGCUGGUGAGGGUCUUCAUGAAGAUUUGCAUAAGCCUCAGCACAAGGUAGAGUGUCGACUCCUUCUGGAUGUUAUAUUCGGCCAGGGUCCGGCCAUCUUCCAGUUGCUUGCCAACAAAGAUGAGGCCCUGCUGGUCCGGCGGGACACCCUCCUUAUCCUGGAUCUUCGCCUUGCAUUAUCAAUUGUGUCGGAGAACAGAUCAAACAUGAUGAUCUUGCCAGUGAGUGUCAUCACAAAGAAAUGCAUAUCAGCCCUGAGCCUGAGCACCAGGUGGAGGGUGGACUCCUUCUGUAUAUUGUAAUCACCAAGUGUCCGACCAUCCUCAAGCUGCUUGCGAGCAAAAAUGAGGCGCUGCCGGUCCACCGGGAUACCCUCCUUAUCCUGGAAUAUCGCCUUCACAUUGUCGACUGUGUCAGAGGACUCGACCUCAAGCGUGAUGAUCUUGCUGGUGAGUGUCUUCACGAAGAUCUGCAUCUGCAUAAGUGGGAAUUACAACAAAGCAGGAUAAGUCACCAAGGAAGAGGCUUACAUGAAUAGUUAAACCGAUUAGCAAAGCCACGAGACAAAGGGCACUAAUGUAAAUGAUGUGAUAUGUAUGCAUAACUGAAAAUUGCAAACGGAGCAUUUUAGUUCAAGGGAGUAACAGAUAGUAAAUCCGCAGUUCAGAAUUAACAAAAAAACAAAUAACAACCGCAUAGCAAAAGUGAAAAGGCAAUAAUCUCUGUUAGGAUCUAUUUCCAGUAUAAAUUAAGCAGAUCUUUGCAAGAAGGGUCCAUUAUAAAGCCAGAUCGUGGAUUAAUAUCUGAUGCCGCAAUAAACAGCAGGCCCAGAACUAACCGGCCCAAAUCUAUUGAGCAGCCCUAGAUCAAGAUGGCAAUGGGGCCCCGAAACCCUCGUCCCCGCGGGUUUUUACCUUAUUAGGGGACGGGGAUGGAUGUAUUUUCAUCCUUGUGGGGCUAUAGUUGGACAUAUUAUACAACCCGACAUAUUUCGUGGGUUUGCACCCGUUUCGGCAGUCCCCGAACCCGAAACCCGGCAAACCCGGCAAAAUACAUUUUUUUUAUCAAGCACUGAUCCGGUGCGGCCCAAACCAAAGCUAUCGAGCCUGAGCGACUGAGCCCCCACCCCCCAACGUUCGAAGGCCAAACCAAGAAUUCUAUUUUAAAACUUAUGUAAUUGCACAUCUUGUUGAACCAUGUGUGGCUUAUCAUCUUUCUUGCUGAAAUCUGAUCAUUUUUGUUGCUGAAAUGUGGUAUCAUGCUGCUGAAAUACACUCUAUAUAGCUGUUGAACCAUGUACUAUUGUUUUUUGUUGAAAUUUGCUCAAGUUAUGAUGCUGAAAUGUGCUUGUUUUGCUGCUGAAAUGUUAUUUUUUGUCGCCACUAUGUUUGUUUAAAUAUUUUGAUUUUCUUGUGGGUUCCCCGUGGGUUCCCCGAAACCCGAUGGGUUAAGAGGACGGGCAGAAAACUAACCCCGCGCAUGACGAUAGGGAUGCGGACGGGUUUACGAUUUUCUCGUAAGGAUGGGUUUGGGAAGGCAAAAGCCGAUGGGUUUCGUCCCCGUUGCCAUCUUGAGCCCUAGAUGAGCCCCCACAGGCAUUUGAUUGAAAUCUACACGAGUAUGAUUGAUCGAGAUGCACUCGCUCGUCCUCAACAAAAACUCGAUUAUCUUUCAAUCAAUCUAUCAGCAUAGAAACAAAAUCUUAGGUCGACACGGUAGAGCGAUCGACACGAAUCUCAUUAUCUAAUCGCGUUGGCCGCAUCAAGAAAAACACCUAAAUCAAUCUCACAACAUGAACGAACAGGGAAUCGGUGGCGCGCGCAUACCUUGACGGACGGGACGGGUCGCGCGAGCUAAUAAUUAAAGAUCGAUCGCUGUGUUGCGGCGGCGGAUUUUCUCGAUCGGAAUCAGCGGGCGAGUGGAUUGGCUGCAAGGGGGUCGAUGCCUGUGGGGAAUUUAUACAUGGGAUGGGAGAAAGGAUACACCUGAACGUACCGGCAGGAGAGGCGGUUGCGGAGUCCGUCCCUACCACGACCACGAAGCAGUCUCGACGAAGUCUCCAACGAGAGAACUGCAGCUGCGAGGUGGUCUUUAUCGAUCCAUGCUGGCCAAUUAGGCCCAGACAUAAAGCCCAACCUAAGCACUGUGCAUGUGUAACCUGCAUCGCAGAACAGGAGGAACAGAGAGAAGCGCGUCAUCGACUCAUCGUGAGAAGCUCUCUUGCGUAAGCGGGGUGAAAUUUCAGAAGACUGCACGAACAACAUCUCAUCUCAUGGUCACAACGUACUACAAAGUGCAGGACUUCGUGAGCAAACUAGAUAAACCAGAGCGGGAACAGAGUGGGAAGUAUCAUCCUCUUAUUGUUGAAUCUCCACCGACAGAUGACAUGGACGUACGCAUUAUAUGCGUGCAGCGUUAUUACGUUCUUACUCCGUUCUAGGGACAGAGGAGGUGACCAGAGAGCGCGACGGACGCAGCUAGGACGAACGCCGGCCGCCGGCUUCAUUGGAGCUUGCGUCUGCCGGCGGCGGCGUAGGCGUCGUUGGCCCACUUGAUCACGAACCACAGCACGUCCACGACGACGUUGCCGUAGCCUCCGGUGCUACCGCGGCCUCUCAGUUCUACGCCGCCGGCGUACGGCGACGGAGCCUCGGCCGGCGGCUGCAGCCACGACGACGCCUCGAGGCCGCGGGACACCCGCUCCUCCUCUGGUAUGACGCGGCCGGCGUGCGCCAGGGCGGCGGCGGCGCAGAGGACGAGCGCGGCGACCAGGACGGCGCGAGCCAUCGGUUUCCCCUCCGACCGGCGCCUGGAAACUGUCGGUGGUCAGUCGAUAGCUCGAGAUCACACUGACUGAGACGGAGACGCGUUCGUAGAUGCACAACGCGACUUGCUCGACCGGUUUAUAUACAUUCGCCUCGACCCGACGAACGGCCGAAACUGCCGAAAGGAUUAAUGCGUGCGUGCGUUCCUGGCUCCGCAUUGAACAGGGGACCGAACGCUCGAAUAAACACGAACCGCAACACUAAAAAGAAACGCUCGAACAAACACAACCACGCAUACAUCGGUUUUGUUUCACUUCCCUUUUUCUCAGAUGAUGAAUACGGUGGCAGCCUCCCUGGUUCCAUUUUCUCACAAUGAAACCAGCGUGAUAUGAUAUUACAGUUCCAGGAUUCCAACCAAAAGCAGCCACCCGGUACUAGGCUGCAUUGGGUGCGGCUACACGUUAAUCGACUGGUUUUUUAGUUAGGCUUAGUCGACUGGUGUGGACCGUUGGAUGAAGAUCGUACGGCGUAUGGACCUUCUUCUUCUUCCCAGACCAUCAAACAUGCCGCCGACCGAACCGCUGACCACCGCUGCCCGUGACCGCCUCACUGACCCCCCACCCCCUCCCCAGAACCAUCCCCCACCAUUGAUCUAGCCGCCGCCCCCAGCCACCCCUCUAGCCCCGCCCGCGUUUGGAUUUUUUUUCUCCGCCGAAGUGCACCACCGACCCCAUCUUAAACCCUGAGAUAGAUAAUGGGGUAGCCCACCGGCGAGCCCCUUCCUUCUCCUUCCUUCUCUCCGGCGAACUCCGACGAACUCUCAAAAAUUGACUUGCCCCAAUUAGAAAAUCAGUCGACUGUCAUUUAGCUAAACUGGGUUGUAUUACACUCAGAAGUCGAAAAAAAGCUAUAAACUGAAAUGGUACACCGUACACAGAUCAACACAUGUACAUUGGUGACAUUUCCAACGGCACACAACCAACAUAGGCAACAAUCUACCUCCCGACCCCCUCCUACUCCUCUGUACCGCCCCACGAGGCUACUAGACGGGCCUCUCUCUCUCUAGCUCUCCCCUCAUCCCGGCCUCCUCCCCCUGUCACCGCCUGGGCGCGCCGCCGGGCAAAGCCCGACUAGUGUGGGUGGCGGCUCCUCGCUCAGUAGUGGCGGCGCGUACUGCUGCUGGCCAACAGGGGCGCAGGGCUGGGCGUGGGGCUCGGCGGCAGGGCGGUUGCGUGUUCUUCCCUGGUGGGGGCGUGGGGCGUGCUAGCAGCAGUCGGGCCUUUAGACCGGGCAGCGCCUGGAUCUAGAUCCCAGCGGCGACAGGUGAUGCGGGCUGCAGAUGGUGCGAGCUGGCGGCUGUGGGUGGAUCCGCUCGUGGGGGCUUGAUCCCAUGGGCUCGGGUGGCUAUGAGCGGCCAGGGGUGGUGCACUGGCCGGUGACACGUCUGCAACGGCUUCAACGGCGGCGGUUGGUGCUUGGCGGUGCGGUGUGGGUGGAGGUAGCCCGUCCCUUCUCCUGGGUUUUGGUUAGCGGGGCUGUUGGGGAUAUAACUAUCAGUUAUGACCCGCCCAAUAGGGGCCGGGUCAGCCCCAAUUGCGGGUCACGAAGGAAGCCCAGUAAACACUCAAGGUGAUAGUUUAUUAAACCUUAUAGAAGGCCUAAAGGCCCGGAGGUGGCCUAAAGCCCAAUAUUGUAAAUCGUCGUAUGUAAGGAAAGACUUGUAAGGAAAGGCAUGUAAAAGAAGUCGCCGAGUCGGACACGUUUUAUGAGACGGCCGGGACUCUGUAAGCCACCAGGCGUCAACCCGUGUAUAUAAGGGGACGACCCGGUGGUGCCUUAGGGCAAGAAACAAGAGAUCGAUAACCAAGCCGGCGAAUUAGCCUCUUGGUGAUCGAAAUCCCAGCAAUACCAACACAACUAGACGUAGGCUUUUACCUUCAUCGUAAGGGGCCGAACUAGUAUAAAACCUCUCGUGUCCUUUGUCCCGAUUAACCCCUUUAAGCUUCCUAGUUGCGAUGGCCCUGCGACUAAGUCCUUCUGCUAGGACAUCUGCCGUGACAAUUCCACGACACUUGGCGCCCACCGUGGGGCCAGCGCACGGUGGAUUUGAGUUCUUGAAGGGCAACUUCAAAGGGCUCAAGGGAUACGUUGUGGGCUGGAUGACCAAGAGUCGUCGCGGCAAGCUCUACAUCGACGACGAAGGCUGGGGCCCCGAGGCCAGCUCAAUCGAGUACGGGUACCGGGUCCCCUUCGGCGGAAUUCAUGUCUUUGUCGGCCGGAUCGGCGAGUCGGGCCCUGAGCCGGACGUCCACACCAACCUCGUCGAAACGGCUCAGCGCGCGAGGACCACCCGUGUUCAAUCUGUCGUGAAGCAUGUUUUCGUAGGCUGCGUCCACAGCGAUGAAUAUUCUGAAGGAUCGGUGGAUGGCGGUGAGACGGCCGUCUGUUCUGACGAUACAUCAUGAACAGGCGAGACAGACUCUUUGUAUCAGCUGCAGGAUGGCAUGCUCGGGGGCUGUUCCGAUGGCAGCAGUAUUCCAGACCCCCUUGAGCCGCCGAAUUGGGCCGGAGUCUUCAUGGCAGGAACACAGCCCGGGCAGAACUCCACAGCAGCAGCGGCGACAACUACCGGGUCGGCCACAGCCGGGUCAGGAGACCCUAUGCGCCCCACGGCUCAGAUUCUAAUGGGCCUCAUGGAUAAACUGACGACUCUGUUGACUGCCGUGGAAGAGCUGGCAGAUAAGGCCCAGCAUGACACAGAGGUGGCACGCGUACGUGAAGAGAUGGUACAAGCUAAAGAAAAUUUAGCAGCAGAGGAGGUCAGGAUGGCAGCGGCGCGGGCGGCUUUGGACGUUCGUGCUCAACAGCUUCAAGCGGAGACUUUCCGGCUCUCGGUGGAUCUGAACGCGUCAAACGAGGUUAUGAGAAGAAGGCAUCAGAAAACUCAGUCACGUCUACCUCUGACGCUCGAUCCUAGGAACUUUUUUCAUACACCCGGGGCUGGGGCAAGCAACCCGCCGGAGGCAAAUCGGAUCACGACGCCCGGGGCACUGGUUCAACCGCGCGCCAUGAAACCACCUCAUGUACAUACCGCUCUGCCUCAUUAUGUACCAACACCGCUGGGUCACUUCUCCAAUCCCUUGGAAAACCUCAUUGCAACGUCGGCUCGUUUGGCGGCUCUCCCGAUGGAAGGCGAAUCGCCGGCGGCAAUCAAAACGCGAAGGGUGAGAGAACUUCUUCAAACAGCUCUGGCACAGCAAGAUGAGUACUCCUAUAGUCGAGACAGGAUCCAUUCAACUCCUUGCCCGAGCCGGAGCCCAAGCUACAGUAGGCAUAUGGACUCAGCUGACAUGUCAAGCAAUGCUCAACGCCGCAACCGGCCGCACAGGCAUGAGCCGAUACAGGCUGGAGCCCUUAACUUGGCGGAUCAGGAGAGGAUCCGACAAGAGGCUGAGCGAGCAGUUCAACUGGCAGCGGAGCAGGCGGCUCAUCAAACUUUUCCGGCUUAUCCAGCAACCUCGGUUGAGGCAGGAGUGGCCACAAGAACCUGAGGUGUCCCUUGCCUGGUGUCGGCCAUACGUAAUGAGCGUUUGCCAAUGGACUUCAAGGGCCUCGUAAGGUGCCUAAUUACACGGCCGACUUGCAGCCUGGGGCUUGGAUUGAGAGUUAUGAGAUGGCUAUGGAGUUGUUGGAGGUCAGCGACGCGGCAAUGGCCAAGUAUUUCACUAUGAUGUUGGAUGGAACAGCUCGUACUUGGUUGAAGGGGUUGCCACCCAAUUUUAUCGGCUCAUGGGCGGAGUUGAAGGCCCGGUUCAUUCAGAACUUCAAAGACACAUGUAAACAACCCAUGUCGAUUGUGGACCUGACUAAUUGUAAACAAGAGGACGGUGAAUCUACAACCCAUUGGGUGCGCCGGGUCAAGGAGAUAAUACAUUCAUCUGAUAAGAUGGAUGCCGGCUCAGCAGUCUUGAUGUUGGAGAAAAAUUGCCGUUUUGAACCUCUGAAGCAGAAAUUGGGGCGCCUCAAGCGUGACUGCAAUGACAUGGGCCAGUUGAUGGCGUCUCUCGUCAAGUAUGUUGAUUCUGAUAGUACCAAAGACCCGGUGUCUGACAAAGAAAAGAUAGGGAAGGGAAAGAAGAACGACAACGGCAAGGGUCACCAGCAUAACCCGGCAAAUCAAGGAGGUAAUAAACGUAAGGCUGAUGAAUUUGUCGCUAACACCAAUGCACAGGGCGGCAAUCAACGGCGCAAGGGCAGGCAACCCCCUCGGUCGGGCGGGUCAGAUCCCACCCUUGAGCAACUAUUGAAUGAACCUUGUCCAAGACACGACACCCGGGAGAAGCCAGGCACCCACCUGUGGAAGGAUUGUACAAUCCUGAAGGCGUUUAAAAGUUCAAAUGCAUUUGAUGGAGGUCACGGCCCAGGCGGCGGUUCAGGUGGGGGCGGUUUCCAUGGCCCGGGCGCCGGUUCAGGUGGAGGAGGAUUUCACGGUCAGGGCCAUCCAGGUAACCAGGGAGGCUAUAAUUCACAACCCGGCCAAGGUAAUCAGCAGCAACAGUCCGGAUAUCAGAGCAACCCAAAACAGUUGAAUAGUGGGCAAUAUCAUGUGUUCACCACUGGCUUAUGUAAGAGGGACCAGAAGCUUCACAAGAGGGCCGUCAAUGCCGUUGAGCCGGCGAUUCCAUGUUACUUACGGUGGUCCGUGUUGGGGAACGUAGUAAUUUCAAAAAAAUUCCUACGCACACGCAAGAUCAUGGUGAUGCAUAGCAACAAGAGGGGACAGUGUUGUCUGCGUACCCUCAUAGACCGGCAACAGAAGCAUUGACACAACAUAGAGGAAGUAGUCGUACGUCUUCCCGAUCCGACCAAUCCAAGUACCGAACGUACGGCACCUCCGAGUUCUGCACACGUUCAACUCGGUGACGUCCCUCGAGCUCCGAUCCAGCAAAACGUUGAGGGAGAGUUUCGUCAGCAUGAUGGCGUGAUGACGGUAAUGAUGUUCUACCGAUGCAGGGCUUCGCCUAAGCACUGCUACGAUAUGACCGAGGUGGAAUAUGGUGGAAGGGGGCACUGCACACGGCUAAGGAACGAUCACGAAGAUCAACUUGUGUGUCAUGGGGUGCCCCCUUGCCCUCGUAUAUAAAGGAGGGAGAGGGGGAGGUGCGGCCGGCCCUAGGGGUGCGCCUGGAGGAGUCCUACUCCCACCGGGAGUAGGACUCCCCCCUCUUGCCUUGUUGGAAAAGGAAGGGGGAAGGGAGAAAGAGGAAAGGGGGGCGCCCCCCCCCUUCCUUGUCCUAUUCUGACUAGGGGGGAGGGGGCGCGCGGCCUGCCCUGGCCGGCCCUCCUCUUCUCCCUUAUGGCCCAUGUAGGCCCAAUAACCCCCCGGGGGGGAUUCCAGUAACCCCCCGGUACUCCGGUAAAAUCCCGAUUUCACCCGGAACGUUUCCGAUAUCCAAAUAUAGGCUUCCAAUAUAUCAAUCUUUAUGUCUAGACCAUUUUGAGACUCCUCGUCAUGUCCGUGAUCACAUCCGGGACUCCGAACAACCUUCGGUACAUCAAAACACAAAAACCCUAAUUACGAUCGUCACCGAACUUUAAGCGUGCGGACCCUACGGGUUCGAGAACUAUGUAGACAUGACCGAGACACGUCUCCGGUCAUUAACAAAUAGCGGAACCUGGAUGCUCAUAUUGGCUCCUACAUAUUCUACGAAGAUCUUUAUCGGUCAGACCACAUAACAACAUAUGUUGUUCCCUUUGUCAUCGGUAUGUUACUUGCCCGAGAUUCGAUUGUCGGUAUCUUAAUACCUAGUUCAAUCUCGUUACCGGCAAGUCUCUUUACUCGUUCCCUAAUACAUCAUCCCGCAACUAACUUAUUAGUUGCAAUGCUUGCAAGGCUUGAGUGAUGUGCAUUACCGAGAGGGCCGAGAGAUACCUCUCCGACAAUCGGAGUGACAAAUCCUAAUCUCGAAAUACGCCAACCCAACAAGUACCUUCGGAGACACCUGUAGAGCACCUUUAUAAUCACCCAGUUACGUUGUGACGUUUGGUGGCACACAAAGUGUUCCUCCGGUAAACGGGAGUUGCAUAAUCUCAUAGUCAUAGGAACAUGUAUAAGUCAUGAAAAAAGCAAUAGCAACAAACUAAACGAUCAAGUGCUAUGCUAACGGAAUGGGUCAAGUCAAUCACAUCAUUCUCCUAAUGAUGUGAUCCCAUUAAUCAAAUGACAACUCAUGUCUAUGGUUAGGAAACAUAACCAUCUUUGAUCAACGAGCUAGUCAAGUAGAGGCAUACUAGUGACACUCUGUUUGUCUAUGUAUUCACACAUGUAUUAUGUUUCCGGUUAAUACAAUUCUAGCAUGAAUAAUAAACAUUUAUCAUGAUAUAAGGAAAUAAAUAAUAACUUUAUUAUUGCCUCUAGGGCAUAUUUUCUUCAGUCUCCCACUUGCACUAGAGUCAAUAAUCUAGAUUACACAGUAAUGAUUCUAACACCCAUGGAGCCUUGGUGCUGAUCAUGUUUUGCUCGUGGAAGAGGCUUAGUCAGCGGGUCUGCAACAUUCAGAUCCGUAUGUAUCUUGCAAAUUUCUAUGUCUCCCACUUGGACUAAAUCCCGAAUGGAAUUGAAGCGUCUCUUGAUGUGCUUGGUUCUCUUGUGAAAUCUGGAUUCUUUCGCCAAGGCAAUUGCACCAGUAUUGUCACAAAAGAUUUUCAUUGGACCCGAUGCACUAGGUAUGACACCUAGAUCGGAUAUGAACUCCUUCAUCCAGACUCCUUCAUUUGCUGCUUCCGAAGCAGCUAUGUACUCCUCUUCACAUGUAGAUACCGCCACGACGCUUUGUUUAGAACUGCACCAACUGACAGCUCCACCGUUCAGUAUACACACGUAUCCGGUUUGCGAUUUAGAAUCGUCCGGAUCAGUGUCAAAGCUUGCAUCAACGUAACCAUUUACGAUGAGCACUUUGUCACCUCCAUAUACGAGAAACAUUUCCUUAGUCCUUUUCAGGUAUUUCAGGAUGUUCUUGACCGCUGUCCAGUGAUCCACUCCUGGAGUACUUUGGUACCUCCCUGCUAGACUUAUAGCAAGGCACACAUCAGGUCUGGUACACAGCAUUGCAUACAUGAUAGAGCCUAUGGCUGAAGCAUAGGGAACAUCUUUCAUUUUCUCUCUAUCUUCUGCGGUGGUGGGACAUUGAGUCUUACUCACCUUCACACCUUGUAACACAGGAAAGAACCCUUUCUUUGCUUGAUCCAUUUUAAACUUCUUCAAAACUUUGUCAAGGUAUGUGCUUUGUGAAAGUCCAAUUAAGCGUCUUGAUCUAUCUCUAUAGAUCUUAAUGCCCAAUAUGUAAGCAGCUUCACCGAGGUCUUUCAUUGAAAAACUCUUAUUCAAGUAUCCCUUUAUGCUAUCUAGAAAUUCUAUAUCAUUUCUAAUCAAUAAUAUGUCAUCCACAUAUAAUAUUAGAAAUGCUACAGAGCUCCCACUCACUUUUUUGUAAAUACACGCUUCUCCAAAAGUCUGUACAAAACCAAAUGCUUUGAUCACACUAUCAAAGCGUUUAUUCCAACUCCGAGAGGCUUGCACCAGUCCAUAAAUGGAUCGCUGGAGCUUGCACACUUUGUUAGCUCCCUUUGGAUUGACAAAACCUUCUGGUUGCAUCAUAUACAACUCUUCUUCCAGAAAUCCAUUCAGGAAUGCAUUUUUUACAUCCAUUUGCCAAAUUUCAGAAUCAUAAAAUGCGGCAAUUGCUAACAUGAUUCGGACAGACUUAAGCAUCGCUACAGGUGAGAAGGUCUCAUCGUCGUCAAUCCCUUGAACUUGUCGAAAACCUUUCGCAACAAGUCGAGCUUUGUAGACAGUAACAUUACCGUUAGCGUCGGUCUUCUUCUUGAAGAUCCAUUUAUUCUCAAUUGCUUGCCGAUCAUUGGGCAAGUCAACCAAAGUCCACACUUUGUUCUCAUACAUGGACCCCAUCUCAGAUUUCAUGGCUUCUAGCCACUUUGCGGAAUCUGGGCUCACCAUCGCUUCUUCAUAGUUCGUAGGUUCAUCAUGAUCUAGUAGCAUGACUUCCAGAACAGGAUUACCGUACCACUCUGGUGCGGAUCUUACUCUGGUUGAUCUACGAGGUUCGGUAGUAACUUGAUCUAAAGUUUCAUGAUCAUUAUCAUUAGCUUCCUCACUAAUUGGUGUAGGUGUCACAGAAACCGGUUUCUGUGAUGUACUACUUUCCAAUAAGGGAGCAGGUACAGUUACCUCAUCAAGUUCUACUUUUCUCCCACUCACUUCUUUCGAGAGAAACUCCUUCUCUAGAAAGGAUCCAUUCUUAGCAACGAAAGUCUUGCCUUCGGAUCUGUGAUAGAAGGUGUACCCAACAGUUUCCUUUGGGUAUCAUAUGAAGACACAUUUCUCCGAUUUGGGUUCGAGCUUAUCAGGUUGAAGCUUUUUCACAUAAGCAUCGCAACCCCAAACUUUCUGAAACGACAACUUUGGUUUCUUGCCAAACCACAGUUCAUAAGGUGUCGUCUCAACGGAUUUCGAUGGUGCCCUAUUUAACGUGAAUGCAGCCGUCUCUAAAGCAUAACCCCAAAAUGACGGCGGUAAAUCUGUAAGUGACAUCAUAGAUCGCACCAUAUCUAGUAAAGUACGAUUUCGACGUUUCGACACACCAUUACGCUGUGGUGUUCUGGUGGCGUUAGUUACAAAACUAUUCCGCAUUGUUUCAAAUGUAGACCAAACUCGUAACUCAAAUAUUCUCCUCCACGAUCAGAUCAUAGAAACUUUAUUUUCUUGUUACGAUGAUUUUCAACUUCACUCUGAAAUUCUUUGAACUUUUCAAAUGUUUCAGACUUUUGUUUCAUUAAGUAGAUAUACCCAUAUCUGCUUAAAUCAUCUGUGAAGGUGAGAAAAUAACGAUAUCCGCCACGAGCUUCAAUAUUCAUCGGACCACAUACAUCUGUAUGUAUGAUUUCCAACAAAUCUGUUGCUCUCUCCAUAGUACCGGAGAACAGCGUUUUAGUCAUCUUCCCCAUCAGGCACGGUUCGCAAGUACCAAGUGAUUCAUAAUCAAGUGAUUCCAAAAGUCCAUCAGUAUGGAGUUUCUUCAUGCGCUUUACACCGAUAUGAACUAAACGGCAGUGCCACAAAUAAGUUGCACUAUGAUUAUCAACUCUGCAUCUUUUGGCUUCAACAUUAUGAAUAUGUGUAUCACUACUAUCAAGAUUCAUCAAAAAUAGACCACUCUUCAAGGGUGCAUGACCAUAAAAGAUAUUACUUAUAUAAAUAGAACAACCAUUAUUCUCUGAUUUAAAUGAAUAACCGUCUCGCAUCAAACAAGAUCCAGAUAUAAUGUUUAUGCUCAAUGCUGGCACCAAAUAACAAUUAUUUAGGUCUAAAACUAAUCCCGAAGGUAGAUGUAGAGGUAGCGUGUCGACCGCGAUCACAUCGACUUUGGAACCAGUUCUCACGCGCAUCGUCACCUCGUCCUUUGCCAGUGUUCGCUUAAUCCGUAGUCCCUGUUUUGAGUUGCAAAUGUUAGCAACAGAACCAGUAUCAAAUACCCAGGUGCUACUGCGAGCUCUAGUAAGGUACACAUCAAUAACAUGUAUAUCACAUAUACCUUUGUUCACCUUGCCAUCCUUCUUAUCCGCCAAAUACUUGGGGCAGUUCCGCUUCCAGUGUCCAGUCUGCUUGCAGUAGAAGCACUCAGUUUCAGGCUUAGGUCCACAUUUGGAUUUCUGAGCAGUAACUUGCUUACUGUUCUUCUUGAAGUUCCCCUUCUUCUUCUUCCCUUUGCCCUUUUUCUUGAAACUGGCGGUCUUGUUGACUAUCAACACUUGAUGCUCCUUCUUGAUUUCUACCUCUGCAGCCUUUAGCAUUACGAAGAGCUCGGGAAUUGUCUUAUCCAUCCCUUGCAUGUUAUAGUUCAUCACGAAGCUCUUGUAGCUUGGUGGCAGUGAUUGAAGAACUUUGUCAAUGACACUAUCAACAGGAAGAUUAACUCCCAGUUGAGUCAAGUGAUUAUGAUACCCAGACAUUUUGAGUAUAUGUUCACUGACAGAACUAUUCUCCUCCAUCUUGCAGCUAUAGAAUUUAUUGGAGACUUCAUAUCUCUCAAUCCGGGCAUUUGCUUGAAAUAUUAACUUCAACUCCUGGAACAUCUCAUAUGCUCCAUGACGUUCAAAACAUCGUUGAAGUCCCGAUUCUAAGCCGUAAAGCAUGGCACACUGAACUAUCGAGUAGUCAUCAGCUUUGCUCUGCUAGACGUUCAUAACAUCUGGUGUUGCUCCAGCAGCAGGCCUGGCACCUAGCGGUGCUUCCAGGACGUAAUUCUUCUGUGCAGCAAUGAGGAUAAUCCUCAAGUUACGGACCCAGUCCGUGUAAUUGCUACCAUCAUCUUUCAACUUUGCUUUCUCAAGGAACGCAUUAAAAUUCAACGGAACAACAGCACGGGCCAUCUAUCUACAAUCAAACAUAGACAAGCAAGAUACUAUCAGGUACUAAGUUCAUGAUAAAUUUAAGUUCAAUUAAUCAUAUUACUUAAGAACUCCCACUUAGAAAGACAUCCCUCUAAUCUUCUAAGUGAUCACGUGAUCCAAAUCAACUAAACCAUAACCGAUCAUCACGUGAAAUGGAGUAGCUUUCAAUGGUGAACAUCAAUAUGUUGAUCAUAUCUACUAUAUGAUUCACGCUCGACCUUUCAGUCUCAGUGUUCCGAGGCCAUAUCUGCAUAUGCUAGGCUCGUCAAGUUUAACCUGAGUAUUCUGUGUGUGCAAAACUGGCUUGCACCCAUUGUAGUUGGACGUAGAGCUUAUCACACCCGAUCAUCAUGUGGUGUCUGGGCACGGCGAACUUUGGCAACGGUGCAUACUCAGGGAGAACACUUUUAUCUUGAAAUUUAGUGAGAGAUCAUCUUAUAAUGCUACCAUCAAUCAAAGCAAGAUAAGAUGCAUAAAAGAUAAACAUCACAUGCAAUCAAUAUAAGUGAUAUGAUAUGGCCAUCAUCAUCUUGUGCUUGUGAUCUCCAUCUCCGAAGCACCGUCAUGAUCACCAUCGUCACCGGCGCGACACCUUGAUCACCAUCGUAACAUAGUUGUCGUAUCGCCAAUCUUAUGCUUCCACAACUAUCGUUACCGCUUAGUGAUAAAGUAAAGCAUUACAGCGCAAUUGCAUUGCAUACAAUAAAGCGGCAGCCAUAUGGCUCCUGCCAGUUGCCGAUAACUCGGUUACAAAACAUGAUCAUCUCAUACAAUAAAAUUUAGCACCAUGUCUUGACCAUAUCACAUCACAACAUGCCCUGCAAAAACAAGUUAGACGUCCUCUACUUUGUUGUUGCAAGUUUUACGUGGCUGCUACGGGCUUAGCAAGAACCGUUCUUACCUACGCAUCAAAACCACAACGAUAGUUUGUCAAGUUGGCGCUGUUUUAACCUUCGCAAGGACCGGGCGUAGCCACACUUCGUUCAACUAAAGUUGGAGAAACUGACACCCGCCAGCCACCUGUGUGCAAAGCACGUCGGUAGAACCAGUCUCGCGUAAGCGUACGCGUAAUGUCGGCCGGGCCGCUUCAUCCAACAAUACCGCCGAACCAAAGUAUGACAUGCUGGUAAGCAGUAUGACUUAUAUCGCCCACAACUCACUUGUGUUCUACUCGUGCACAACAUCAACGCAUAAAACCUAGGCUCAGAUGCCACUGUUGGGGAACGUAGUAAUUUCAAAAAAAUUCCUAUGCACACGCAAGAUCAUGGUGAUGCAUAGCAACAAGAGGGGAGAGUGUUGUCUACGUACCCUCGUAGACCGGCAAUGGAAGCAUUGACACAACAUAAAGGAAGUAGUCGUACGUCUUCCCGAUCCGACCGAUCCAAGUACCGAAUGUACGACACCUCCGAGUUCUGCACAUGUUCAACUCGGUGACGUCCCUCGAGCUCCGAUCCAGCAAAACGUUGAGGGAGAGUUUCGUCAGCACGACGGUGUGAUGACGGUAAUGAUGUUCUACCGACACAGGGCUUCGCCUAAGCACUGCUACGAUAUGACCGAGGUGGAAUAUGGUGGAAGGGGGCACCGCACACGGCUAAGGAACGAUCACGAAGAUCAACUUGUGUGUCAUGGGGUGCCCCCUUGCCCCCGUAUAUAAAGGAGGGAGAGGGGGAGGUGCGGCCGGCCCUAAGGGUGCGCCUGGAGGAGUCCUACUCCCACCAGGAGUAGGAAUCCCCCCUCUUGCCUUGUUGGAAAAGGAAGGGGGAAGGGAGAAAGAGGAAAGGGGGGCGCCGCCCCCCCCCCUUCCUUGUCCUAUUCGGACUAGGGGGGAGGGGGCACGCGGCCUGCCCUGGCCGGCCCUCCUCUUCUCCCUUAUGGCCCUUGUAGGCCCAAUAACCCCCCCCCCCCAGAGGGGGGGGGUCCGGUAACCCCCCGGUACUCCGGUAAAAUCCCGAUUUCACCUGAAACAUUUCCGAUAUCCAAAUAUAGGCUUCCAAUAUAUCAAUCUUUAUGUCUUGACCAUUUCGAGACUCCUCGUCAUAUCCGUGAUCACAUACGGGACUCCGAACAAACUUCGGUACAUCAAAACACAAAAACCCUAAUUACGAUCGUCACCGAACUUUAAGCGUGCGGACCCUACGGGUUCGAGAACUAUGUAGACAUGACCGAGACACGUCUCCGGUCAAUAACCAAUAGCGGAACUUGGAUGCUCAUAUUGGCUCCUACAUAUUCUACAAAGAUCUUUAUCGGUCAGACCACAUAACAACAUACGUUGUUCCCUUUGUCAUCGGUAUGUUACUUGCCCGAGAUUCGAUCGUCGGUAUCUUAAUACUUAGUUCAAUCUUGUUACCGGCAAGUCUCUUUACUCAUUCCGUAAUACAUCAUCCCGCAACUAACUUAUUAGUUGUAAUGCUUGCAAGGCUUGAGUGAUGUGCAUUACCGAGAGGGCCCAGAGACACCUCUCCGACAAUCGGAGUGACAAAUCCUAAUCUCGAAAUACGCCAACCCAACAAGUACCUUUGGAGACACCUGUAGAGCACCUUUAUAAUCACCCAGUUACGUUGUGACAUUUGGUAGCACACAAAGUGUUCCUCCGGUAAACGGGAGUUGCAUAAUCUCAUAGUCAUAGGAACAUGUAUAAGUUAUGAAGAAAGCAAUAGCAACAAACUAAAUGAUCAAGUGCUAAGCUAACGGAAUGGGUCAAGUCAAUCACAUCAUUCUCCUAAUGAUGUGAUCCCGUUAAUCAAAUGACAACUCAUGUCUAUGGUUAGGAAACAUAACCAUCUUCGAUCAACGAGCUAGUCAAGUAGAGGUAUACUAGUGACACUCUGUUUGUUUAUGUAUUCACACAUGUAUUAUGUUUCCGGUUAAUACAAUUCUAGCAUGAAUAAUAAACAUUUAUCAUGAUAUAAGGAAAUAAAUAAUAACUUUAUUAUUGCCUCUAGGGCAUAUUUCCUUCAGUCCGAACAGCCUAUUGUGUGAAGCAGAGAGGAUCAUCCACCCCGGGUUGAUAAUCCGGGUCACUUGGCCUUGGUAGUAGCGCCUUAGGUUGGUGGAUAUAAAUUCACUAAGGUGCUCAUGGAUUGAGGCAGCAGCAUCAACAUCCUCUACUAUGAGACGUUCCGUCGGAUGGGGUUGAAUGAUAAGAGUGUUAAGCAAUCCAACACUGUUUUUCAUGGUGUGGUACCUGGCAAGUCGGCAUACCCAGUUGGUAAGAUUGAACUGGAAGUAGCCUUUGGGGGUGGAUAUGACUCCAGAGAAGAAAAAUUAACCUUUGAGGUGGUUAAGAUCAAAAGCCAAUGUCAUGCUCUGUUUGGACGGCUGGCUUAUGCCAAGUUCAUGGCUCGGCCGUGUUAUGUGUAUUUGCAGCUCAAGAUGCCGGGUUAUAAGGGCACCAUUACAGUACAUGGAAGUCGGAAAAUAGCCCUGGAGUGUGAAGAAGGUGAUGCUACAUAUGCUGAGUCUGUUUGUGCAACCGAGGAGUUAAAGUUUUAUAAGGAUCAUGUUGACCCGGCAGACAUGAUGUCUUUAAAGAAACCAACAACGGAGCAUGAGCCGGUGUUGAAAUUCAAAUCAGCUGAUGACACCAAGAUGGUUGACUUUGUGCCUGGCGACUCAUCCAAGCAGUUCAUCAUCAGUGCAAACUUGGAUCCGAAAUAGGAAAGUGCGCUCAUCGAGUUCAUCCGUGAGAACCGGGACAUCUUUGCAUGGAAACCUUCCGACAUGCCGGGUGUCCCGAGGGAAAUCGCAGAGCACACUCUCAAUAUUGAUCCAAAGUUUAAACCGGUUAGACAAUUUCUCUGACGGUUCAACGAGGAAAGGCACAAGGCCAUUGGAGAAGAGGUGGAAGUCUUUCACCCAGAGUGGUUAGCCAACCCGGUGCUUGUACUCAAAAAGAACGACACCUGGCGUAUGUGUGUGGAUUACACUGAUUUAAACAAGGCUUGUCCGGAUGACCCUUUUGCUCCCCCCCUUAUUGAUCAGAUCAUCGAUGCUAUGGCGGGUUGCGCACGUUUGAGUUUUUGGGAUGCUUAUUCAGGUUAUCAUCAGAUCAAGAUGGCAGUCAUAGAUCAGGAGAAGACAGCUUUUAUCACUUCGUUUGGAGCUUUCUGCUCUGUGUCUAUGCCUUUUGGGCUUAAGAGUGCCCAGGCGACUUAUCAACGGUGUGUGCAGAAUUGUCUUCAUAAUCAGAUUGGGCGUAAUGUUCAUGCUUAUGUGGAUGAUAUAGUGUUAAAGUCCAGGAAAGAGGAAACCUUGGUCACAGAUCUGAAAGAGACCUUCGAUAACCUCCGGGUCUACAAAAUGAUGCUUAACCCAGCUAAGUGUGUUUUUGGAGUCCCAGCCGGCAAGCUCUUGGGUUUUUUGGUGUCCAACCGAGGUAUUGAAGCUAACCUAGAGAAGAUUAAGGCAAUCACAUCCCUGGCCAAACCAACAUGCAUCAAUGACGUUCAACGGCUGGCGGGUCGUGUGGCUGCUUUAAGCCGGUUCAUAAGCCGGUUAGGGGAGAAGGCGAUGCCUUUGUAUCAAAUGAUGAAGAAAACAGAUGAUUUUGUUUGGAGUGAUGCCGCGAACUCUGCUUUUGAGGAUCUGAAGAAACAGCUUGCUGAGCCACCUGUUCUUGCUGCUCCAAUGGAGAAAGAGCCGCUAUUGUUAUAUGUAGCCGCUAACUCACGGGCUGUUAGUGUGGCAAUUGUGGUGGAGCGCAAAGAGGUUGGCAAGGAACAUCCGGUUCAACGGCCGGUUUAUUAUGUCAGUGAGGUACUAAUUGAAUCUAAACAAAGAUAUCCACAUUGGCAGAAGCUCGUGUAUGGGGUGUUCAUGGCAAGCCGGAAGUUCAAGCAUUACUUUCAGGGUCACCCGAUCACUGUGGUUAGCUCUGCGCCUUUGGGGACAUCAUCCAGAAUAGAGAGGCUACUGGACGAGUCGCCAAGUGGGCCAUUGAACUUGGAUCUCAUGGGUUGAAGUAUGUGCCACGUACUGCGAUCAAGUCUCAGGUGCUGGUUGACUUUAUUAAUGACUGGACAAAGAUGCAGACGCUGGAGGAGAAACCAGACAACACAUAUUGGACUAUUCACUUUGAUGGGUCCAGACAGUUGGAAGGCUCGGGGGCUGGAGUUGUUUUAACCUCCCCUCGAGGUGACAAAUUUUGUUAUGUGUUGCGGCUGAUGUUUCCUUGCACUAACAACGCAGCGGAAUAUGAAGUCUUGCUCCAUGGUCUUCGAGUGGCCAAAGAGAUGAGCCUGAGCCGGGUCCGGAGUCUUGGCGACUCAGAUUUAGUGGCUCAACAGGUAUUAGGCAAGUGGGAUUUCAAAGACCCUCUCAUGGCGGCUUAUCGUCGUGAAGUUGAUGUUGUUGCAGGACAUUUUAAAGGAUAUCAGGUGGAACACAUUGACCGUAGGAAGAACGAAGCAGCCGAUGCUCUAAGCCGGCUGGGAUCUCAGCGUAAGCCGGUGCCACUUAACACCUUUUUGGAUGUUUUGCAGAAGAAGAUCUAGUUGUUCCUGACCCAGAGGCACAGUUGGUGGCGACUCUUCAUGUCAUCCCAGAUUGGACAGUGUCGUUCUUGGAUUAUAUGACCCGGGGCGAGCUGCCAGCAGAUGAGACCCUGGCCCGACAGAUAACCCGGCGGUCUAAGUCAAUGACGAUUUCUAACGGAGAACUAUACCAUCGCAGCAUCUCUGGAGCGUUUCAGCGGUGUGUUUCCCCUGAAGAAGGCCAAGAAAUACUUCGUGAGAUCCAUGAAGGCGAUUGUGGUCAUCACGCCGGGUCAAAGUCUCUGGUGGCUAAGGCUUUUCGUCAUGGUUUUUACUGGUUGACGGCUCACGCUGAUGCAGAAGAUCUGGUCAGUAGAUGUGACAGAUGUCAAAAAUUCGCACGACGAGCACAUGUGCCGGCUCAAGAGCUACGGAUGAUUCCGAUCACUUGGCCGUCUGCGGUCUGGGGCUUGACAUGGUUGGACCUUUCAAAAGGUCUAAGGAUAAAAAAGACACAUCUUUUAGUGGCAGUUGACAAAUUCACAAAGUGGGUUGAGGCGGAGUCGGUGAGUAAGUGUGAUGCGGCCACGACGGUUCAGUUCAUGAAAAAGGUGAUCUUACGUUUUGGUUUUCCACAUAGCAUUAUCACUGACAAUGGCACUAAUCUAUCUCAAGGGGCUAUGGAGGAGUUUUGUCAACGUGAGCAUAUUCGGCUUGAUGUUUCUUCUGUAGCUCAUCCUCAAUCCAAUGGUCAAGCUGAGAGAGCAAAUAAGGAAAUCUUAAAAGGUCUCAAGCCCCGGCUUAUGGUCCCCUUGCAGCGAACGCCGGGUUGUUGGGUAGAGGAAUUACCCUCGGUACUAUGGAGUAUCAACACCACACCUAACAGGUUUACAGGUUACACACCUUUCUUCAUGGUGUAUGGAGUAGAAGCAGUGUUGCCUAGUGACAUCCGUCAUGACUCGCCCCGUGUGGCGGCUUAUGUUGAAGCUAAUAAUGAACAAGACAGACAGGAUGCACUUGACUUGUUGGAUGAGGAAAGAGACUUAGCAGCAGCUCGAUCAACAAUUUAUCAAUAGGACCUGCGCCGUUAUCACAGCCGCCGGGUUAAGUCCAGGGCCUUUCAAGAAGGCGACCUGGUGCUCCGGCUCAUCCAGGAUCUGUCAGAUGCACACAAGUUAUCCCCGCCUUGGGAAGGACCCUUUGUGGUCAGCAAGAACUUAAACAACGGGUCAUAUUACCUCAUUGACGUUCGAGAGCACAAAGACUCACGUAAGUUGGAAGAGGAGACCCGCCGGCCAUGGAACAUUGCUCAACUUCGGCCAUACUACACAUGAGCCACUGGCUCUCAUCAUGUACAUACUUUAACGUUGUAUAUACUAUGAUAAGUAAUAAAGCAGGACCAUCGGUCUCUUUUCUUUUAAAGAUUACGCAUCUUUGUUGUUUUUUACUAUUUUCCAAUGACUGUUAAGGAGCUGAUCAUAUUUGAAUCAAGUCUAACCUUUUUGGCCUAGCUUACGGUCGUAUUUGAAUCUAGCUGCAACUAUCAUGGUCACUUGGGGGCUUCCUGUUCAAACAUAGGUCGUAUUCGAACCAAAGAGAACAUAGUUGUCGUAACCCUUUUGAUCGGCUCAAAGCCAAACUCACUAGGGGGCUUCUUGAUCGUAUCCGAAUCACAGCUUAACCCCUUUUGGGUCCGACUUGGAUCGUAUUCGAAUCAGGGUCGUUAAAAACCUCUCAAGGUCAUUUGGGGGCUUCCUGUUCAAACAUAGGUCGUAUUCGAACCAAAGAGAACAUAGUUGUCGGUACCCUCUUGAUCGGUGCAACGCCAAAGCUACUGGGGGCUAUAUGGUCGUAUUCGAACCUUAGCUUAACUCCUUUGGUCUGGUUUGCUGAUCGUAUUCGAAUCAAAAACCCCCAACCUUUAAUUACAAGGUUAAUUUUGGUUACCACCUGUUUUUGCUUUAUUGGUUUUUAGUUGUCUCAAUUUUGCAAAUAAUCAGCAUGGUCUUUUCACCGGCUGGACUAUUUGACAACAAGACGCCAGGGCAUAAUACUCAUUAAGUAUUCAGAAGGAUUGACUUCUCAAAAAAGACUGGAUUAUCAACUUCACCCAGUCAUUUAAACCGGUGGUCCGGAGAUCGAAGGUACAGGUGUGGCUAUUGUUUAUGAACAGUUGCUUUCUGUAUUAAUCAAAGGUUAUUUCAGUCUUGUUUUCUUCUUACAUCUGGUUCUGCUUUUUACUAUGAUAAAAAUAUUGGCUAUAAACCGGGUGUUCUGGCCCGUUUGGUACUAAGCCGCCAAGCCAAUUUUUCCUUUUUAUCUGCAGGAACAGAGUUGAAGUAUUGCAGGGACAAUCAUAAAUAUGAUGUAUAUAUAUUAACAUCAGCAAGCACAGAGUAACACACGUGUCUUAUGCGCGAUGGCAUACGCAGAAUAUGCAGUGUUUUCAAAACUAAUCUAUUACAAGGCUUUUACAAGCCCAUGAAGAUGGUCAUCACUCCUCCCUCGCCGGUUCACCGCCCUCUGCUGAUUGGAAGCUUGGUUUUGACCAAUCAAAACCGUUCACGGCAAUAAAUUAUGCAUCUUCGUCAAUCAGGCCGGCCGGAUCAACUUCUAGAGCAAAUGUAUGUUCACGAACAAGCGGGAUCAAAUCUGUCACCUUGUACGAGGGAGUUGCCAUCUUCUUAUUUUCCACAUCAAAACCCGGCUGAUAUUUGUCGAUAUUGGUUUCAUCUUCAAGAAUAGUCGCCUGAGGUCGAACUCCGCGCACGCAAGCCAUGAAGUCGUCUUGUUCAAAGGGAGAUCUGUCUUCCUUCACGGUAGGAUACCCUCUGGCUACAUCCGCUGGGUCUAGAUCUGACACCCAAGCCUUGGGGCGGCUUAGGGCAGUCAAAGCUCCAGCUCUAGCACAAGAGCGCUUGACUUCUUGGAACCCGGCGGGCAAGAUUGACAGCUUCUUUAAAACAUCGUUGAGCCGGUUGGGUCCUUGAUUGGCAGGAGAGAUAGCGGCGAGUGCUCAUUGUGCGCCAAUGUACAACUGCUCUACUAAGGUAUAGACCGCCUUCAGCUUAAUCACGUGGUCUUGAUUCAGAUUCUUGCUUCGAGGGCCUGCUUAUGUUUUGAACGCGAAGGGUCAGCUAGCGGCUUGCAGUCCGGGUCAAAAGAAGGUAAAAAGGUCAAUACAGAUGGCUUACCAAAGAUGGCGGACACCAUUUGUGACACCCGGUUCUUUAAACCGGUCAGCUCCGUCGUAACCUUUUCAAGGGCUGCUUCAGCCUUCUCAACACGUUGUGUCAGAAGCGUUUUUUAUUCAGCCCAGGUUUUCUUCUUGGCAGUAAAGCUGGUUUUUAAUUUUUCCGUCUCAGAGAGACUUACUUGCAGUCUGGAGUCAGCAGACUUGAUCUCUGCCUCCUAAUCCGCCAGCCGGGUCUUCGCAUCAGUUAAUUACGAGCUUAAUCUAGAUAAGGCAUUCUAUAAAACAUACCCAGAUGAGUCAAGAUUUCAGUUAAAGUUCAAAAGUCAAGAUUCAAGAUUCAAGUCUCAAGUACUUUGCAUUGCAAAACCACUUGACACUUGGGGGCUAAUGUAUGCCAAAACAAUUUCUUAUGACUCUAAAACAUACUUUGAGUCCCAAGUACUUUACAAAGUAACAACACUUGGCACUUGGGGGCUAAUGCAUGCUAUUCAGCAAGUUUCUCAAGGUUAAGCCGGAUUACAAUGUUUUUUGGAUACGGUACAAGACAAUUAUGAAAAAUCAAAGUACCGGCUCAUUUAUGGUCAAAUGAACCGGCCCUUGGGGACUACGGAUGAAGCUUUGUUCUAUUUUAUUGAACUCCAGGAAAAUCUAAAAGGAAAAAGUCUUAGCCUAUAUCAUAAAGUCUACAGAUCAUUCCGGUUCUCUCAUAAUCUGAAGACUUGGGGGCUGGCAGAAUAUAAGUAAGCCGAAAGAACAUACCUCAUAUUUCAGCUACAACUACUUGACCAUUUUGAUCUCUGAGUCACGGCUGGAGUGCACAUGGCUGAGAUAACCAGAUAAUAUGUCGUUGGCAUUCAGAUGAUCAUAGUGUGAAAUGUCAAAACACACUUUCUGUUUCUCCAACGCCUCUUGUUUCGCCGUGUGGCGAGCCAACACGGUGGGAUUUCCCGGUUCAACAAAGCGGCUCCCGGUGAUCAGAACGUCUUAUGCAGACGGUGAUGGCAGGUUGGCCGAGCUGGAUGGUCCGGUUGCAGAAGGAUUCACGGUGGUAUCAUCAACUGACGGCUUAGGAGGAUUUACUUCAUCAUUGACAGGCGGGUCUUCUGGAGCUUCAGUUAAUGGAGGAGAAGGUGGCCUUGCCAGUUCAGGUGCAAGGACUGGCGGGUCUUCCACCGGCUUAGUUACCUUGGCCUUCUUAGACUUAGCUUGACCACUAAGAGAAAUAUUAUAGGACCGUCAGUAUAAAGAGACAGUUUGAAAAACACGGAAGAAAGAGGAUUUUUCCACCCAGGGGCAGUCUUAAAGGCCGGAAAUUGGGUCUGAGACGAGUCGCCAGAAGAACAAGACACCUCCUGCAAAGAUAAAACAAAGCUAGGUAAUGCAACGGAAAGGAUCCAUUAACAGAAAUUCAAAGACAAUGAAAUAAACCUCAUUCGGGCGUUUUUGAGGGGUCUGUGGAAGGACAGCAGGCGAAUCAUCAUCAUUCCGGGCCUGAUGGCGGCUCUCAUGUUGCUGUUUUUUCAAAAGAAAAUGAGGGUCCAGAUAAGCCAAAGGGUGUGAAAACCUUACUUUCUGGGUUACGACUCGAAGUUUUUGUCUUGGCAAAUGGGCUGAGUCAGAGGAAAUAGUUACCUCUUCUUCCACGGCCUGACUAGCCCCUGUGUCAUCCUGGUAAUGAUCAGUGUUAAUAAGAUUAUUAAAAAGUUGGCCAAGGGAGUCAAUGGCUACCUCCGACUCAGAAGUGUCAUCAAGCCUCAUCAGGUCCUCAGCAGUGCUUUUCUUCUUAUUGGCCCUCCGGGUGGGUUUCUUGGUGUUUAUAGCAGCAGCUCUAGCCUUCUUGGCGGCUUCGUGGUCAUAUUUGGCUUUCCAGAAAUCAGAUCUGGCAUGUACAUAAAUAAGCAAGAUGAAAGGCCAUGCAGAUACUUAACACAGUUGAGAAAAAUACAAAGAAAGAGAUCGGCGGUUCUUUACCUCUGGCGCCGGGUUAAGUUUGCAGAAGGGGUUUAACCCAACCUUACUGCAGUCUUCAUAUUUUCCGUUUACCAGAAGGGUUGACAUUGCAACAAUAUCUUCUUUGGGUGAUGGGACGGAGCUAUAACGAAGAGAAUCAUUUGGACCUCCACCAUAUUCACACAUCAGUUUUGACCGAUGACUUAGAGGGAUGACCCACCAUGCGACCCAGCAGCGGGUCAAAUCAAUACCGGUUAAGUUGUUCCCCAAUAAGGCAUUAAUCCUUUUGAUUGAGGGGAUCAGCUUCUUGCGUUCAGCAGCAGUAAGCUUGUCAGGGAGCGCGAAUUUGGAGUCAAGACGCUCGGCACGGUAACCCGGCAGUGGCUUUUCAUUCGCUGGUGAGGUGUCUUGACAAUAGAACCAAGUCUGAUUCUAGUCUUUAGGAUGACUCGGCAAGACUAUUAGGGGGAAGACAGCGCCCUGUUGCUACCUCUUGAGCACUGCGUUGGAUUUCCCCGAAGAGGAGAGGAUGAUGCAGCAAAGUCGCGUAAGUAUUUCCCUCAGUUUUUGAGAACCAAGGUAUCAAUCCAGUAGGAGGCUAUGCUCGAGUCCCUCGUAGAUACACAAAAACAAUAGCUCAACGCAACCAACGCACUUAGGGGUUGUCAAUCCCUUCACGUUCACUUACGAAAGUGAGAUCUGAUAGAGAUGAUAAAUAAUAUUUUUGGUAUUUUUGGUAUAUAGAUGCAAAGUAUAAAGUAAAAGCAAAGUAAAAGAAAAGCAAUAAUAAAGUGAUGGAGAUUGAUAUGAUGGGAAAGAGACCUAGGGGCCAUAGGUUUCACUAGUGGCUUCUCUCAAGAGCAUAAGUAUUCUACGGUGGGUGAACAAAUUACUGUUGAGCAAUUGACAGAAUUGAGCAUAGUUAUGAGAAUAUCUAGGUAUGAUCAUGUAUAUAGGCAUCACGUCCGAGACAAGUAGACCAAACUGAUAAUUCGAAAAGACUUUCAAAGAUAACCAAUCAUACAUAAAAGAAUUCGGAGAAGAUUCAAAUAUUAUUCAUAGAUAGACUUGAUCAUAAACCCACAAUUCAUCGGUCUCAACAAACACACCGCAAAAAGAAGAUUACAUCAAAUAGAUCUCCACGAGAGAGGGGGAGAACAUUGUAUUGAGAUCCAAAAAGAAAGAAGAAGCCAUCUAGCUACUAACUAUGGACCCGUAGGUCUGAAGUAAACUACUCACACUUCAUCGGAGGGGCUUGGAUGAUGAUGUAGAAGCCCUCCGUGAUCGAUGCCCCCUCCGGCGGAGCUCCGGAACAGGCCCCAAGAUGGGAUCUCGUGGAUACAGAAAGUUGCGGCGGUGGAAUUAGGUUUUUGGCUCCGUAUCUAAUCGUUUGGGGGUACGUGGAUAUAUAUAUAUAUAGGAGGAAGAAGUACGUCGGUGGAGCUUCGAGGGGCCCACGAGGCAGGGGGCAUGCCCUAGGGGGGCGUCCUCCACCCUCGUGACCGCCUCGUGGCUUUCUUGACGGAGGGUCCAAGUCUCCUAGAUCUUAUCUAAUGAGAAAGUCACGUUUCCGAAGGUUUCAUUCCGUUUGGACUCCAUUUGAUAUUCCUUUUCUUUGAAACCCUAAAACAGGCAAAAAACAACAAUUCUGGGCUGGGCCUCCGGUUAAUAGGUUAGUCCCAAAAAUAAUAUAAAAGUGGAUAAUAAAGCCCAAUAAUGUCUAAAACAGUAGAUAAUAUAGCAUGGAGCAAUCAGAAAUUAUAGAUACGUUGGAGACGUAUCAAGCAUCCCCAAGCUUAAUUCCUGCUCGUCCUCGAGUAGGUAAAUGAUAAAAAUAGAAUUUUUGAUGCGGAGUGCUACUUGGCAUAAUUUCAAUGUAAAUCUUCUUAAUUGUGGUAUGAAUAUUCAGAUUCAAAAGAUUCAUGACAAAAGUUCAUGUUGACAUAAAAAUAAUAAUACUUCAAGCAUACUAACAAAGAAAUUAUUUCUUCUCAAAAUAACAUGGCCAAAGAAAGCUAUCCCUACAAAAUCAUAUAGUCUGGCUAUGCUCUAUCUUCACCACACAAAGUAUUUAAAUCAUGCACAACCCCGAUGACAAGCCAAGCAAUUGUUUCAUACUUUUGACAUUUUCAAAACUUUUUCGAUCUUCACGCAAUACAUGAGCGUGAGCCAUGGAUAUAUCACUAUAUGUGGAAUAGAAUGGUGGUUGUGGAGAAGACAAAAAGGGAGAAGAUAGUCUCACAUCAACUAGGCGUAUCAACGGGCUAUGGAGAUGCCCAUCAAUAGAUAUCAAUGUGAGUGAGUAGGGAUUGCCAUGCAACGGAUACACUAGAGCUAUAAGUAUAUGAAAGCUCAACAAAAGAAACUAAGUGGGUGUGCAUCCAACUUGCUUCCUCACGAAGACCUAGGGCAUUUUGAGGAAGCCCAUCAUUGGAAUAUACAAGCCAAGUUCUAUAAUGAAAAAUUCCCACUAGUAUAUGAAAGUGACAGAAUGAGAGACUCUCUAUCAUGAAGAUCAUGGUCCUACUUUGAAGCACAAGUGUGGUAAAAGGAUAGUAACAUUGUCCCUUCUCUCCUUUUCUCUCAUUUUUUUGGGCCUUCUCUUUUUUAUGGCCUCUUUUUUUCGUCCAGAGUCUCAUCCCGACUUGUGGGGGAAUCAUAGUCUCCAUCAUCCUUUCCUCACUUGGGACAAUGCUAUAAAAAUGAUGAUCAUCACACUUUUUAUUUUUCUUACAACUCAACAAUUACAACUCAAUACUUAGAACAAAAUAUGACUCUAUAUGAAUGCCUCCGACGGUGUACCGGGAUAUGCAAUGAAUCAAGAGUGACAUGUAUGAAAGAAUUAUGAACGGUGGCUUUGCCACAAAUACGAUGUCAACUACAUGAUCAUGCUGGCAAUAUGACAAUGAUGGAGCAUGUCAUAAUGAACGGAACGGUGGAAAGUUGCAUGGCAAUAUAUCUCGGAAUGGCUAUGGAAAUGCCAUGAUAGGUAGGUAUGGUGGCUGUUUUGAGGAAGGUAUUUGGUGGGUGUAUGAUACCGGCGAAAAGUGCGCGGUAUUAGAGAGGCUAGCAAUGGUGGAAGGAGGAAAGUGCGUAUAAUCCAUGGACUCAACAUUAGUCAUAAAGAACUCAUAUACUUAUUGCAAAAAUCUAGAAGUUAUCAAAGCAAAGUAUUACGCGCAUGCUCCUAGGGGGAUAGAUUGGUCGGAAAAGACCAUUGCUCGUCCCCGACCGCCACUCAUAAGGAAGACAACCAAUAAAUAAAUCAUGCUCCCACUUCAUCACAUAACGGUUCACCAUACGUGCAUGCUACGGGAAUCACAAACUUUAACACAAGCAUUUCUCAAAUUCACAAUUACUCAACUAGCAUGACUCUAAUAUCACCAUCCUCAUAUCUCAAAACAAUUAUCAAGCAUCAAUUUUUUUCUUAGUAUUCAACGCACUCAAAAGAAAGUUUUACAAAUCUUGAAUACCAAGCAUAUUAUUAUUAAGCAAAUUACCAUGCUAUUAAGACUCUCAAAAUAAUCUAAGUGAAGCAUGAGAGAUCAAUAGUUCCUAUAAAACAAAUCCAUCACCGUGCUCUAAAAGAUAUAAGUGAAGCACUAGAGCAAAAUUAUAUAACUCAAAAGAUAUAAGUGAAGCACAUAGAGUAUUCUAUCAAAUUCCAAAUUAUGUAUGGAUCUCUCAAAAGGUGUGUACAGCAAGGAUGAUUGUGGUAAACUAAUAAGCAAAGACUCAAAUCAUAAAAUACACUCCAAGCAAAACACAUAUCAUGUGGUGAAUAAAAAUAUAGCUCCAAGUAAAGUUACCGAUAGAAGUAGACGAAAGAGGGGAUGCCUUCCGGGGCAUCCCCAAGCUUUGGCUUUUAGGUGUCCUUAGAUUAUCUUGGGGGUGCCAUGUGCAUCACCAAGCUUAGGCUCUUGCCACUCCUUGUUCCGUAAUCCAUCAAAUCUUUACCCAAAACAUGAAAACUUCACAACACAAAACUUAAAGUAGAAAAUCUCGUGAGCUCCGUUAGCGAAAGAAAACAAAAGACCAAUACAAGGUACUGUAAUGAACUCAUUAUUUAUUUAUAUGGGUGUUAAACCUACUGUAUUCCAACUUCUCUAUGGAUUAUAAACUAUUUUACUAGCCAUAGAUUCAUCAAAAUAAGCAAACAACACACGAAAAACAGAAUCUGUCAAAAACAGAACAGUCUGUAGUAAUCUGUAGCUAGCGCAAGAUAUGGUACCCCAAAAAUUCUAAAAUAAAUUGCUGGACGUGAGUAAUUUAUCUAUUAAUAAUCUUCAAAAAGAAUUAACUAAAUAUCACUCUUCAAUAAAAAUUACAGCAGUUCUCGCGAGCACUAAAGUUUCUGUUUUUUUACAGCAAGUUCAACAAGACUUUCCCCAAGUCUUCCCAACGGUUCUACUUGGCACAAACACUAAUUAAACACAAAAACACAAAAAAAACAAAGGCUAAAUAAUUUAUUUAUUACUAAACAGGAUAAAAAAGCAAGGAAUAAAAAUAAAAUUGGGUUGCCUCCCAACAAGGGCUAUUGUUUAACGCCCCUUGCUAGGCAUAACAAGCAAUAAUAGAUCUAGGUAUUGCCAUCUUUGGUAGGCAAUCCAUAAGUGGCUCUCAUAAUAGAUUCAUAAGGUAAUUUAAUUUUCUUUCUAGGAAGGUGUUCCAUGCCCUUUUUUAAUGGAAAUUGGAAUCUAAUAUUUCCUUCCUUCAUAUCAAUAAUUGCACCAACCAUUCUAAGGAAAGGUCUACCGAGAAUAAUAGGGCAAGAAGGAUUGCAAUCUAUAUCAAGAACGAUAAAAUCUACGGGCACAUAAGUCCUAUUUGCAACAAUAAUAACAUCAUUAAUUCUUCCCAUAGGUUUCUUAAUAGUGGAAUCCGCAAGAUGCAAGUUUAGAGAGCAAUCAUCAAAAUCACGAAAAUCUAGCAAAUCACACAAAGUUUUGGGAAUAGUAGAGACACUAGCACCCAAAUCACACAAAGCAUAAAACUCAUAAUCUUUAAUUUUAAUUUUAAUAGUAGGUUCCCACUCAUCAUAAAGUUUUCUAGGGAUAGAAACUUCCAAUUCAAGUUUUUCUUCAUAAGAUUGCAUCAAGGCAUCAACGAUAUGUUUAGUAAACGCUUUAUUUUGACUAUAAGCGUGAGGAGAAUUUAGCACGGAUUGCAACAAGGAAAUACAAUCAAUCAAAGAGAAAUUUUCAUAGUUAAAUUCCUUGAAAUCCAUAAUAGUGGGUUUAGCAACAUCUAGGGUUUUAAUUUCUUCAAUCCCACUUUUAUCAAAUUUAGCAUCAAGAUCAACAAAUUCUGAAUUCUUAGAACGCCUUCUAGGUAAAGGUGGAUCAUAUUCAGUCCCAUCAUUAUCACGAUUCAUAUUGCAAAACAAAGAUUUAAUAGGGGACACAUCAAUAACUUUUAGAUCUUCAUCAUUAUUUUCAUAGGAACUAGAAGAACACGCUUUAAUAAAGGCAUCUUUCAUAGCACGCGUCCUAGCGGUUCUUUCUUUGCACUCGUCAAUGGAAAUUCUCAUGGCUUUGAGAGACUCAUUGAUAUUAUGCUUAGAUGGAUUAGAUCUAAGUUUCAAAGAAUCAACAUCAAGAGCAAUUCUAUCAACGUUCCUAGCCAAAUCAUCAAUCUUAAGCAAUUUUUCUUCAAUCAUAGCAUUAAAAUUCUUUUGCGAAGUAAUAAAUUAUUUAAUAUUAGACUCAAAAUCAGAGGGCAUCUUAUUAUAAUUUCCAUAAGAAUUGUUGUAGGAAUUACCAUAAUUAUUAGAGGGAUUACUAGGAUAAGGCCUAGGAUUGAAAUUUUCUCUAUACGCGUUGUUACCAAAAUUGUUCCUACCAACAAAAUUCACAUCCAUAGAUUCAUUACUAUUCCCAAUCAAAGUAGACAAGGGCACAUCAUUAGGAUCAGAAGAAACACUCUUAUUAGCAAAUAAUUUCAUAAGUUCAUCCAUCUUUCCACUCAAAACAUUAAUUUCUUCUAUCGCAUGCACCUUUUUGUUAGUAGAUCUUUCAGUGUGCCAUUGAGAAUAAUUAACCAUAAUAUUAUCUAGGAGUUUAGUAGCUUCUCCUAAAGUGAUUUCCAUAAAAGUGCCUCCCGCGGCCGAAUCUAAAAGAUUUCUAGAAGCAAAAUUCAAUCCAGCAUAAAAAUUUUGUAUAAUCAUCCACAAAUUUAAACCAUGAGUAGGGCAAUUAUGUAUCAUUAAUUUCAUUCUCACACAAGCUUGUGCAACAUGUUCAUGAUCCAGUUGCUUAAAAUUCAUAAUAUCAUUUCUAAGAGAGAUGAUCUUAGCGAGAGGAAAAUACUUAGAGAUAAAAGCAUCUUUGCACUUGUUUCAUGAAUCAAUACUAUUUUUAGGCAAAGACGAAAACCAAGCUUUAGCACGAUCUCUAAGCAAAAAAGGAAAUAGCUUCAAUUUAACAAUAUCAUUAUCGACAUCUUUCUUCUUUUGCAUGUCACACAAAUCAACGAAGCUAUUAAGAUGGGUAGCGGCAUCUUCACUAGGAAGGCAGGAGAACGGAUCUUUCAUGACAAUAUUCAGCAAAGCAGUAUUAAUUUCACAAGAUUCAGCAUCGGUAAGAGGAGCAAUCGGAGUGCUAAGGAAAUCAUUAUUGUUGGUAUUGGUGAAGUCACACAAUUUAGUAUUAUCUUGAGCCAUCGUGACAAACAAGCAAACUAACACACAAGCAAACAGAAAGCAAACGGGCAAAAAGAGGCAAAUAGAGAGGGAGGAGGAGGAUAGAGAGAGAGGGCGAAUAAAACGGCAAUAGUGAAUUGGGGGAGAGGAAAACGAGAGGCAAAUGGCAAAUAAUGUAAUGCGGGAGAUAGGGAUUGUGAUGGGUACUUGGUAUGUUGACUUUUGCGUAGACUCCCCGACAACGGCGCCACAAAUUCUUCUUGCUACCUCUUGAGCACUGCGUUGGAUUUCCCCGAAGAGGAGAGGAUGAUGCAGCAAAGUAGCGUAAGUAUCUCCCUCAGUUUUUGAGAACCAAGGUAUCAAUCCAGUAGGAGGCUACACUCGAGUCCCUCGUGCCUACACAAAAACAAUAGCUCAAUGGAGCCAACGCGCUUAGGGGUUGUCAAUCCCUUCACGGUCACUUACGAAAGUGAGACCUGAUAGAGAUGAUAAAUAAUAUUUUUUGUAUUUUUGGUAUAGAGAUGCAAAGUAUAAAGUAAAAAGCAAAGCAAUAAUAAAGUGAUGGAGAUUGAUAUGAUGAGAAAGAGACCCGGGGGCCAUAGGUUUCACUAGUGGCUUCUCUCAAGAGCAUAAGUAUUCUACGGUGGGUGAACAAAUUACUGUUGAGCAAUUGACAGAAUUGAGCAUAGUUACGAGAAUAUCUAGGUAUGAUCAUGUAUAUAGGCAUCACGUCAGAGACAAGUAGACCGACUCCUGCCUUCAUCUACUACUAUUACUCCACUCAUCGACCGCUAUCCAGCAUGCAUCUAGAGUAUUAAGUUAAAAACAGAGUAACGCCUUAAGCAAGAUGACAUGAUGUAGAGGGAUAGUUUCAUGCAAUAUGAUAAAAACCCCAUCUUGUUAUCCUCGAUGGCAACGAUACAAUACGUGCCUUGCUGCCCCUUCUGUCACUGGGAAAGGACACCGCAAGAUCGAACCCAAAGCUAAGCACCUCUCCCAUGGCAAGAACAACCAAUCUAGUAGGCCAAACCAAACUGAUAAUUCGAAGAGACUUGCAAAGAUAACCAAUCAUACAUAAAAGAAUUCAGAGAAGAUUCAAAUAUUAUUCAUAGAUAGACUUUAUCAUAAACCCACAAUUCAUCGUUCUCAACAAAUACACCACAAAAAGAAGAUUACAUCGAAUAGAUCUCCAUGAGAGAGGGGGAGAACAUUGUAUUGAGAUCCAAAAAGAGAGAAGAAGCCAUCUAGCUACUAACUAUGGACCCGUAGGUCUGAAGUAAACUACUCACACUUCAUCAGAGGGGCUUGGAUGAUGAUGUAGAAGCCCUCCGUGAUCGAUGCCCCCUCCGGCGGAGCUCCGGAACAGCGCCCAAGAUGGGAUCUCGUGGAUAAAGAAAGUUGCGGCGGUGGAAUUAGGUUUUUGGCUCCGUAUCUGAUCGUUUGGGGGUACGUGGAUAUAUAUAUAGGAGGAAGAAGUACGUCGGUGGAGCUUCGAGGGGCCCACGAGGCAGGGGGCGUGCCCUAGGGGGGCGCCCUCCACUCUCGUGACCGCCUCGUGGCUUUCUUGACGGAGGGUCCAAGUCUCCUAGAUCUUAUCUGAUGAGAAAGUCACGUUUCCGAAGGUUUCAUUCCGUUUGGACUCCGUUUGAUAUUCCUUUUCUUCGAAACCCUAAAACAGGCAAAAACAACAAUUCUGGGUUGGGCCCCCGGUUAAUAGGUUAGUCCCAAAAAUAAUAUAAAAGUGGAUAAUAAAGCCCAAUAAUGUCUAAAACAGUAGAUAAUAUAGCAUGGAGUAAUCAAAAAUUAUAGAUACGUUGGAGACGUAUCACCUGUCGGCGUUGAAUCGAGAUGCCUCCAAGUUCCAAGCUAGAGCCAUUGGUGUACUUGUUCUGGCAGUUCAGAUAAAAAUACUCUCUGAAGAGUUCUACUGUCGACUCUUCCUGAAGAUACACCUCACAGAGCACUUGGAAGUUGCAGAUAUUGGAUAUAGAAUUGGGCCCGAUAUCUUGAGGAUGGAGUUUGAAAAAGUGAAGGACAUCUCUGAAGAACUUUGAGCCGGGUGGGAAAAAUCCACGGUUCAUGUGAUCAGAAAAGACGAUAACUUCACCAUGUUUUGGAUUAGGCCGAUCCUCCUCCGGGUCAGGUGCACGAUAAGACAUGACAUCUUUUCCUGGCAAAAAUCCUAUGGAGAAAAACUCCUUCAAGUUGUCCUCAGUCAUGGUUGAGGGAACCCAGUUGCAAACAGUCGGCACUUUGGAUGGCAUGAUGUUCAAACGAGCUGAAAGGACAGCAACAUGUCGGCUCAAUUCAAUGAUAAAGUUGAAAAUUAAGUGAUAAUGGUACAGGGGAGUAAUGGCGGCUUAAAUAAGGGCUAAUGACAUAUAAGGAAAAGUAAGCCGGGACAGUAAGCCGCCAUGACUAUAGAUUUUUUCAGAAGGCAGAUUCAGCUAAGUGUUGAGAUAAACAAGUUUCCCAAACUGCUUGAUAUUAUUCCAGAUCAAAUGGCUGUUCAAAAUGAAGAACUUCCUAGAACUAAAAUUGUAGCCCAGAUGAGUUCAUCAGCUCUAAGAAAGGUGUCUGUGCAAAGGAAAGGGAUCUACUAACAUCUAAAAUGGGUGUAAAACCACUGCCACACGAGCUAAGUGUUCCUUUUCAAUCAAGAGAGGCUGUGGAGGAAGAACUACUAGAUAAGUUCAUGAUGAACAGUGAAGAACACCGAUGAACUCGCAAACCCUAAUGCAUAUCUAAGAAGUUUGAGAAGGCAAGAAUUACGGAUGCAGAUCUGUUGCGGAGGGUCGUCGCCGUUUCUCUGGACAGUUCAGGGUGAUGUAGCGGCCAAGCUUGAGGACGACGAUGAGCACUGCGGCGGCGGCGGAGCUCGAGCAGCAGCGGAGGUUGCGAGAGGAAGAAGAUGAAGAAGAGAGGAGAAUGAGAAAAACCGGCCGCAUGCCUAUUUAUAAGGAAAAAAGCGAACAGGCGGGCGCAAAAAUCGAGGAAGGCCCAAAAUAAUGGUUAUCUAACUGGAUGGACGCCUCGAUUCUCGGAAGGCACUAAAGAUGAAGAUCCGUUGGAAGAUGACAUCAUAAAAGUUUUUUGGGUUUUCCAGAGAUGAUGUCAUGGCGGGUUACAAAAACCUCUGCGAGGAUAAGAAGAUGGAUUUUGUCUAAGUAUUGAAGAUUGACAAGGAACAAAGUUCAAAGUCAACCUGGGGCCUAAUAUUGGGGAUAUAACUAUCAGUUAUGACCCGCCCAAUAGGGGUCGGGUCAGCCCCAAUGGCGGGUCACCAAGGAAGCCCAGUAAACACUCAAGGUGAUAGUUUAUUAAACCUUAUAGAAGGCCUAAAGGCCCGGAGGUGGCUUAAGGCCCAAUAUUGUAAACCGUCAUAUGUAAGGAAAGACUUGUAAGGAAAGGCAUGUAAAAGAAGUCGCCGAGCCGGACACAUUUUAUGAACUAGCCUCUUGGUGAUCGAAACCCCAGCAAUACCAACACAACUAGACGUAGGCUUUUACCUUCAUCGUAAGAGGCCGAACUAGUAUAAAACCUCUCGUGUCCUUUGUCCCGAUUAACCCCUUUAAGCUUCCUAGUUGUGAUGGCCCUGCGACUAAGUCCUUCUGCUAGGACAUCUGCCGUGACAAUUCCACUGCAGGGACGGUUGUGCGCGUUGCGGAGAUGGCCGAACCUAGAGCUCAUGCUCGGGCGGAUCGGUUUGGGGCCCAAAAAUGCUACACUUACGGGCAGCACACAGGAAAAUUAGCUUACGGACUACUCCCUCCGUCCGAAAAUACUUGUCAUCAAAAUAGAUAAAAAGGGGUGUAUCUAGAACUAAAAUACAUCUAGAUACAUCCCCUUUUAUUCAUUUUGAUGACAAGUAUUUCCAUACGGAGGGAGUACCUCCUAACCAAUCCCUUCCCCCCCCCCCCCCUGAUUUAUAGUGUGGGCCCUGCCGCCCUUUGUUUUACAAUUAACCAUUGCCAAAUCAGUCCGUAACUUGCUUUCCGUGGGAUAUGUCCGUAAGUGUAGCAUAGUUGGUUUGGGCCUUUGGGGCCUGAGGCGGAUCGGAGCUCUGGCUCCAGCAUGAAAAGAAGAGUAGUGAGGUUAGGGGUGGAAACGGAUCGGAUGCGGAUCGGAUAGUGCUCUUACCACUUCCAUUUUCGUAUUUUCAAAACGAAUAUGAAUCUGAAUACGGAUGUUCUCGGAUACGGAUGCGGUUCGGAUAUUAUUUGAAUACUGAUACGUAUCGGAUAUUUUCUUGAUUCGGAACGGAUAUGAAUAAUAUCAACAUGUUGCUUAAGUAAAUUAGUCGAUAGCUAUGUGACCUAAAAUAAUCAACUUGCGACAUACAAUAAGUCAAUGAUAAAUAGGUUUAUGAAUAAAUACUAUUGUAAUGCAUAAUAAUUUAUAAGUUUAAUCAUAUAAAGAGUAAAAUUUAACUACUUAUUUGGCUUUUAUGUUGGAUAAUUGGAAUAUUGGGCCUAGAAUUUAAAAAAAUACCUCCCAUAAUCUUCUUCGGAUACGGAUAUAUCCACUUCCAUAUCCAUAUUUGUGUCAAAAUCUCCUACCAUAUUUUAUUUUAUAUUUGUUUAAUAAAUUCGGAUACGGACAAUUUCCAUUUCCAUUUUGGUUCGGAUGCGGAUGUUUCGGAUACGAAUAGGCAUUUUCUCGAAUACGAAUAUCAGAUAUUUCGGAUUAUCCACUACCACUUUCCACCCCUAAGUGAGGUUGCCUAGCGCCAUCCGCCAACCCAGCACCGAGAUAUCCAUCCUCUCGCUCAGGCCGCCAUCGUCACCUUUGAAAGGAACUGCACCCGCUGGCCCAACCAUGGAAAACCUUGCCUCGACGACGAUCGGGAUGACCAGCAAGGGACACGCGGCACCGACUCGCCGAUGCUUCCAUGUAGAGCAGCGCCAACGGGGGAAGUUGAGGAAACUUUAUUCACCUUAGAGCCACUGGCGCCACAAAAAACUAAUCCUAGCCUAUCUACAUGUCGGCGCCGAAGCAUCAGUGUUCCCCACACCUCUCGCCAAUGGAGCGGCAGACGAAGGGAGGAAGAUCCCACGGGCUGGCCAUUAGGGUUUGAAGGUGGAAAGUGGUUCUCUGCGCUCUGCACAGCUAUCGGGAGGGUAUAUGAUACUCCCUCUGUUUCUUUUUAGUCUGCAUAUAAAAUUUGGUCAAAGUCAAACUUUGUAAAGUUUGACUAACUUUAUAGAAAAAAUACUAACAUCUACAAUACUAAAGCUAUAUGGUAUGAAAGUUUAUUUCAUGAUGCAUCUAACAAUAUUGAUUUCAUAUUAUGAAUCUUACUAUUUUUUUCUAUAUACUUAGUCAAAGUUAAGAAAGUUUGACUUUGAUCAAAUCUUAUAUGCAGACUAAAAAGAAACGGAGGGAGUACUUCUUUUCAUGCUGCUGAUUGUUCAAUCUUGUGUUCAUGAUAGUCGAUUUGCAUUAUAGUAUGGAUAAUUUUUUUAAAAUGUAAUAUAUGCUGAUGCAAUGCAGACUUCACCGAGUCAGAUCCUCGCCAUCUCUGUAGUUGUUCACGGUCAGGAAUGCAUGUCCGUCUUGAUCUUUCACACAUUGUAUCGGUUUGCCAGAGUAAAUGUUAUGCUAGUACACUCACUCAGAUGCAUGCAUGCGAUAACCGGACCUCGGCUUGUAGGAGCACGUACCUACAUGUUGUACAAGCAGAUUUCCAAGUCAUGAGUUAACCCAUGGCUCGUCUUGACCGUUCACAAACUGACAACGUAUUUACUAAUUGAUUUCCACGUGAUGUGUUAAAUCCAUGGCUUGUCUUGAUGGUUCACACACUGACACCGUAUAUACCAACCGAUUUCCAAGCCAUGAGUUCAAAACAAUCGUGAGAUUUGGGUACACUAGGAUCAAUGCCUAGCUAGGUUUGGUUCACCGCCGAACGACUUGGGACUCCUAUAUAAAGGAGCCUUGCAUUCGGCAUUUCCAUCAACACCUCAUCCUCAACACAUCCAGUAAAGCACACGUCCUAGCGAUGAAGGGCCUCUUACUGUGUGCGCUCGCACUUGCGUUUGCUGUGGUGACCACCGACGCCCAGCGCUGCGGCAAGCAGGGCGAUGGCAUGGAGUGCCCCAACAACCUCUGCUGCAACAAGGAUGGGUACUGCGGCCUGGGCGUCACCUACUGCAAUGCUGGCGCCGGCUGCCAGAGCGGCGCCUGUUAUGACAACAAGAUCUGUGGCGCGCAGGCCGGUGGCGCAUUGUGCCCUAGCAACCACUGUUGUAGCUCAGGUGGUCGUUGCGGCUACGGCAGGGAAUAUUGCAGCAACGACUGCCAGAGCGGUCCUUGCUGGGAUCUCAAGUGUGGCCACCUGGCCAAUGGCAGGCCCUGCCCCAACAACCUCUGCUGCAGCCCAAAUGGUACAUGUGGCCUAGGACCGGAGUACUGCGGUGCUGGCUGCCAAAACGGCGCCUGCAGCACUGACAAGCCGUGUGGCAACAAAGCUAAUGGUGCACCAUGCAACAACAACUAUUGUUGCAGCCAGUAUGGAUCUUGUGGACUCGGCCAGGAUUACUGUGGUGCCGGCUGCCAGAAUGGCUCAUGCAACUAGUAAUAUUGUGGUACACUCCUUCCUUCAUGGCUGACAUACUCAAGUACUCACUACCUUUAACUGCUGCCAUGGAAGUAUAAGCGUCGCAAUGCAGAAGUAUAAGCAUUGAAACAAGUAAUAAUCAGUGGCAAUAGCUAAUAUUAUUGUCCCAAAUUAAGUUCUACUUGUACCAGCUAAGUAUGGUUGUCAAGCUGUCAACAUUUGUUCUAUUAAGUAUUACGUUUUGUUGCCAAUCUGGUGAUACUAUAUAUUGCCACUUGUUUUAGUUUUCUUUGUUGGGACGCUGGAAUAUUGAAUAAUUAUUGUGUUAUACUCACGUUUAACUGCUGGGAAAAAGCAGAAAGAAAUUCAAUAUAAACCUUUUAAGGGAAUAAAAGGAUCAUGGUGAACAAAAAAAACCUCACAGAACAUUUUUCUUCUCUAAGGUAAACAUACGAGUUGAACGUCUUCACUACCAUGGAACACUGGAUCCAGGGCACUUUAUGUGCAUUGUCACGGUGUAUACAAACAUCCGGUGUUUAUGCCUUAGAUAUGAUCAUUUUGGUUAUUUGGAGAAGACAGCAAAAGUGCACAAUAUUGCACUCCGGAUUUAAAUAUGCAGCCACAAGGUCCUCUAAACAGAUUUCGAUAACAUCGCAGGAAGUUAUGGAAUAGGAAAAUCUGCAAGUGAAACUCUUUACCCUGAAUCUAAGUUCAAACAACUUAGAGAACAUACAAGCCCAAUACAAACGCCACGGAAUCUAAGUUCCGGACAUUCAUGGUGAGCAAAAAUGGGUUAUCACAGGAUAAGAACAUUCAGAUUAAGAACACAAAGCAACCGUAAUCACAGGAUAAGUUUUAUCACAUAUUAGGUACUAACAAGAUUCAGGUUUCACUUAAUUCAUAACAGAGAUCACACUACCACAAGUUUGACAAACGACACAUGACACAGUCUUGCACAUAAGAGAUAAGGCAAGAUGCCACCGGGCGCAACAGGCUUGUGAAUCAAACAUCCAAGGGUGCGAGGAACUCACUGGCCACCACGAAGGCAGAGCACCAAGUGUACAGUAGACUCCUUCUGAAUGUUGUAAUCCGCAAGAGUGCGACCAUCCUCGAGCUGCUUGCCAGCAAAGAUCAGGCGCUGCUGGUCCAGGGGGAUGCCCUCUUUGUCCUAGAUCUUCGCCUUCACAUUGUCAAUGGUGUCCGAAGAUUCCACCUCCAGGGUGAUGGUCUUGCCAGUAAGGGUCUUGACGAAGAUCUGCAUGCCACCACGGAGGCGGAGCACCAGAUGGAGGGUCGACUCCUUCUGGAUGUUAUAAUCAGCUAGGGUACGGCCAUCUUCCAGCUGCUUGCCGGCAAAGAUGAGACACUGCCAAAUCCAGAAUAUCAGUGCAUCUGAUACCUCCUCGUACCAUAUAACUUCAAUGGUCUAUGAAGAAGCAGUAUAUAUAGUCAUGAUAUAAUCUCAACGCAUGGUUAUAUGAUAUUAGGUUUACAUCGGUGAAAUAUCAUGCAAAAGAAAUAACUAUGAAGAAGCAGCAUAUAUAAAUAACUCUCACAUGAGAAAAACUCCAAAAUAUUACAUCCAAGUCAUAACAUAAUACAUCCAUGACAUAACAAGUCUCGGCAUAACUAGAUUGAAUGCCUGUAGAGGCUAGAAUGGAAAAGAAAAACGGUUCCCAUCCCCAGAGGUCUCGGGCUGCCAGCCGAGAUCCCCUAUCUACUCAUCAUCGUUGUAGAAAACAAGAGGUAAAUCACAUGAGUAGUAAACUCCACGUUAUUGUUACACUAGCACAUAAGGUAUUCACCAUGAACUAAAUGUCUCUGCGCCUAACUUCUCUAUAGUGAUAUCUGAUUCUUAUUUUAAAUUUUUGUUAUUUCAACUUUUUUUAUAAUUUAUAGUGGAAGUUUUUUCAUUGUAGUUUUUUGUAUGAGUUUUUUCAAAAAUAGAGGUAAGCAUUAUCAUCAUUUUCUUACUUUUCCUUUUUCUAUUACUUAUGUAGUGUUGUUUUCUGUUCAUGGAAUGAUACUUCCUGUUGAGAAAGGUAGCUACGUGUCCAUACAAAAUUACGGUUACAACGGCAUACGUGCACCUCAACAAGACAAAGUCAGAAGAACAUUUGCCCCAGUAAAAUUGCAGAAAGGAACCCCAAAAGAAAAGAAAAUGCAAUCAUGUCCUUGGAGAUCCCUAUGCACAUAGAAAAGAAAUUAUCUGCUGCCGACACCCGCCACCCACAAAAUACCUACAGAGGCGAAGGAUAUGAAGGUACAUCACACCCAAAUCCAAAGGAGCGCUAUUGCCACGUAGCCGCUCUGUGAGCCAAAUAACAUGUUCGCCGCGCCGCAGAACAAUUUCCAAUGUGACACAUUAGCCGGGACACAUCACCAUGUCACCUGCCGGACUUCCGCACCGCCGUCUUCACUCGAGGAAUUCAAAGAAGAGCAGUGAGACUGCCUGACGCCAUCCGCCAACCCAACACCGAGAUAUCCAUCCUCUUGCUCAGGCCGCCAUCAUCACCCUUCCAAGGAACUACACCAACAGUCCGCUUCAAAGGAACUACACCCGCAGUCCUAGACAUGGAAAUUCUAGCCUCGAUGAUCCGGAUGACCAUCAAGGGACAUGCGGCACCGACUCGCCGAUGCCUCCAUGUAGAACAUCGCCGAGACAGGGGAAGUCAAGGAAAAAUUAUUCAACUGCCGCCACGAAAACUAAUCCUAAUAACCUGUCAACGGGUCGGCGUCGAAGCAUCGGUGUUCCCCGCACCUCUUGCCGACGGAGCGACAGACGAAGGGAGGAAGGUCCCACAGGCUGGCCAGCGGCGAUUGAAGGUGGAAAGUGGUUCCCCGCGCUUUGCACUGCUAUCGGGAGGGUAUAUGAUACGUACUUUUUGUUCAUGCUGCUGAUUGUUCAAUCUUGUGUUCAUGAUAGUCGAUUUACCUUAUAGCAUGGAGAUUUUUUUUAAAGUAAUAUAUGCUUAUGAUAUACAGACUUCAGCCGUCAGGUCCUCGCAGUCUCGUUUUUUGUUCACGGUCAGGAAUGCAUCUCCGUCUUGAUCUUUCACACAUUGUAUCGGCUUGCCAUAGUAAAUGUUAUGCAAGUACACUCACUCAGAUGCAUGCAUGCGAUAACCGGACCUCGGUUUGUAGGAGCACGUACCUACAUGUUGUACAAGCAGAUUUCCAAGUCACGAGUUAAUCCAUGGCUCGUCUUGACCGUUCACAAACUGACAACGUAUUUACCAAUUGAUUUCCACGUCAUGUGUUAAAUCCAUGGCUCGUCUGGACGGUUCACACACUGAAUUUUCCAAGUCAUCGUGAGUUAAAGAAAAUCGUAAGAUUUGAAUACACUGGGAUCAAUGCCUAGCUAGGUUUGGUUCACCACCCAACGACUUGGACUCCUAUAUAAAGGAGCCUUGCAUUUGGCAUUUCCAUCAACACAUCCUCAAAACAUCCAGUAAAGCACACAUCCUAGCGAUGAAGGGCCUCCUCUUGUUGUGCGUGCUCGCACUUGCCUUUGCUGCGGUGACCACCCAUGCCCAACUGCAGUCCUGCCCGGCGCGCUGCGGCAAGCAGGCCGACGGCAUGGAGUGCCCCAACAACCUCUGCUGCAGCAAGGAUGGGUACUGCGGCCUAGGCGUCGACUACUGCAGCGCUGGCGCCGGCUGCCAGAGCGGCGCCUGCUACGACAACAAGAUCUGCGGCACGCAGGCCAAUGGCACAUUGUGCCCUAACAACCACUGUUGUAGCUCGGGUGGUCGUUGCGGCUACGGCAGUGAAUACUGCAACAACGGCUGCCAGAACGGUCCUUGCUGGGCUGAUCUCAAGUGUGGCCACCGGGACAAUGGUAAGCUAUGCCCCAACAACCUCUGUUGCAGCCGGUAUGGUUAUUGUGGCCUAGGACCGGAGUUCUGUGGUACUGGCUGCCAAAACGGCGCUUGCAGCACGGACAAGCCGUGUGGCAACAAGGCCAAUGGUGCAGCAUGCACCAACAACUAUUGUUGCAGCCUGUAUGGGUCUUGUGGGCUUGGCAAGGAUUACUGUGGUACCGGCUGCCAGAGCGGUGCAUGCAACUAGUAUUACUGUGGUACGCUCCUUCCUUCCUGGUUGACAUACUCAAGUGCGUGCUACCCUUGAAUUGUUGCCAUGGGAGUAUAAGUGUUGCAAUGAGAAAGUAUAAGCAUUGCAACGAGGAGUAAUAAUAAGUGGCAAUAGCUAAUAUUAUUGUCCCAAAUUAAGUUCUACUUCUACCUGCUAAGUAUGUCAAGUUGUGGACAUUUGUCCUAAUAAUCGACAUUUGUCCUAGUAUUAUGUUUUGUUGACAUCGUGUAAUGUUAUUGUAUGAUCUGGUGAUACUAUAUAUUGCCACUUGUUUAAGUUUGCUACUUCUUUUUUGCGAUACAAUUUCCGAUCUAUUCAUCUUCAAUCAUGACGGUAUAAUGAACAUCGCAAAAAAUAAAAAUUACAUCCAGAUUCAUAGACCACCUACCGACGACUACAAGCACUGAAGCGAGCCGAAGACGCUUGUCGGGCAAAACUUGUUGUAGUAGACAGUCGGAAAGUCGUCAUGCUAAGGCCCCAUAGGACCAGCGCACCAGAACAGCAACUGCCGCCGAUGAAGAGUAGCGUAGAUCGGAAUGGCCCAGCCUGAAGAAACACAAACAUAGACGAACUACGACCAGAUCCGAGCAAAUCCACCAAGGACAGAUCCGCCAGAGACACACCACCACACGCCCACCGACGAUGCUAGACACACCACCGGGAUGAGGGCUCGGGGGGGAGGGGAAUCUUAUUCCAUCUUCAGGGAGCCGCCUCCAUCUCGUCUUUCGGAGUAGGACACAAACCCUAACAAGAUUCGAAAGAACGUCUAAAAACAGAGCCCUCCCGCCGGCAAGGGCCGGAAUCCACCAUGUCGACAUGGCUCUAAGACCACCAGAGACGAGGCGGACCGGCAGCGCCGGCGGGAGACAAAAGAACCCUAAGCUUUUCUUGCGGGAGGAGGCGACUUAUGACGUACGGCAACCUGCACGUGAUGUUUGGUCGAUGCCUAGAGAACACGAUGGAUGCACCAGCACCAGCCAGCAUUUUGUCAACCAGUACAUUUUGUUGCGACCCUGGAAUAUUGAAUAAUUAAUGUGUUAUACUCAUGGUUAUUAACUUGCUGGAAAAAAAUACAGUAAAACUAUGAAGGGAAGGAAACGAUCAUGGUGAACAAAAAAAAACUGGAACAUUUUUCUUCUCUAUCGUGGAACACUGGAUCCCAAGCACACUAUGUGUGUUUUCGCAGUGUAUACAAACAUCCGGUGUUUACGCCUUCGAUAUGAUCAUUUUUUGGUCAUUUGGAGAAGACAGCAAAAGUGCACAAUAUUGCACUGCAGGUAUAAAUAUGCAGCCGGAACUUCUUUUUAAAAAGAAAAAAGAAUAGUCUGAUAUCUAACAGAUUUUGACAUCACAAGAAGACAGAUCUCGACAUUAUCGCAGGAAGUUAUGGCACAGGUAAAUCUGCAAGUGGAACUCUCCCUCUGAAUCUACAAGAAAUCUCAGAUGUUUGGGACUAGACCAGCAAACAAAAGAUAACAGACAAGUUCAGGGAACGCCCGUACGCAUGGAGAACAACCACGUUCAAUCAUGCAGUCUGUCAAAUGCGCAAUCGAUAUAGCAGUGGACCUCUCUGUUGCAGGAAAAAAGCAAGCCGUGAGGCCUGCGAAGGGGAUACAGAAGUGGAAGCCGCCUGAUGAUCCUUUUCUAAAAAUAUAUGUGGAUGCCUCGUUCCUUGAAGAAUCCCAUCAAGGUGGAACAGGACUUGUGUCCGCAAUCAUCGAGCCAAGGUGAGCUUAUUCGGGCAAUCUGGUAUGAAACAGGAUUAACGCAAUUACUAUGGAAGCGUAUGCUGUUAGAGAUGGCGUGCAACUGGCCUAUGAUCUAGGUUACAGGAAAUUGAUCGUGUAAACUGAUUCUCAGCUUGUGGUGAACGAGUGGAACUCCGCCGAUGCCGAUCGGUCAGAGAUUGCUACCACUCUGAAUGAAGAGAGUGUUUGUUUCCAGGGACUUAUUGGUUUAGGGACUUAAAAAAGUUUCUAUAAGUCCCAUCUAAACCAAACAGGAGAGACUUAUAGGGACUUAAGUGGGCAUUUGAGACUUAUGAAAUAAGACUCUCAAGGAAGGACUUGUAGGGACUUAUAGUUGUAAUAUGGUCUUUUAGUCCAUGUUAAGUCCCAGGAACCAAACAGAUAUGGACUUUUUAGGGACUUGAGACUUAUAAGUUGGACUAAAAAAAGUCCUAGGACUUAUAAACCAAACAGGGCCGAAGUUCAAGAGCCUUGCGGGAGUUUUAAGGAAUCUUGGCUAGUAUUUACUUCCAAAUAGUCUAAUGAGAGGCGCUUUUUAUGGAUAAACUAUAUCCCUAACUUCCUUCCAGCUUGUGUAAGGCAGGAAUGUAAUCCUGCUUCUUAUUAAUAUAAGAAGCUCUUGAUUUCACACACAAAGAAGUUCAGUGGAAACGCCACAGAAUCUAAGUUCUAAACAUUUAUGGUGAGCAAAAAUGGGUUAUAACAUGAUAAGAGAAAAAAACAAAGCAACCGUAAUCUCACGGUAAGUGUUAUCACGUAUUAACGAGAUUCGGGUUUCACUUGAUUCAUAACAGAGAUCACACUGCCAUAAGGCGCCAACAGAUGUACUCACAAACUAAGAGUUUCACAAACGACACAUGACAGACUUGCACAUAGUAAACUCAAAGGGUGCCAGGAACUCACUGGCCACCACGAAGGCGGAGCACCAAGUGGAGAGUAGACUCCUUCUGAAU
rnacentral:lncRNA from 1 species